GUGACCUCAAAUCAGGUAGGACUACCCAGACUGAACUUAAGC
rnacentral:rRNA from 1 species